UGCAGUCGAGCGGACUUGAAGAGAAGCUUGCUUCUCGGAUGGUUAGCGGCGGACGGGUGAGUAACACGUAGGCAACCUGCCCUCAAGCUUGGGACAACUACCGGAAACGGUAGCUAAUACCGAAUACUUGUUUUCUUCGCCUGAAGGAAACUGGAAAGACGGAGCAAUCUGUCACUUGGGGAUGGGCCUGCGGCGCAUUAGCUAGUUGGUGGGGUAACGGCUCACCAAGGCGACGAUGCGUAGCCGACCUGAGAGGGUGAUCGGCCACACUGGGACUGAGACACGGCCCAGACUCCUACGGGAGGCAGCAGUAGGGAAUCUUCCGCAAUGGGCGAAAGCCUGACGGAGCAAUGCCGCGUGAGUGAUGAAGGUUUUCGGAUCGUAAAGCUCUGUUGCCAGGGAAGAACGCUUGGGAGAGUAACUGCUCUCAAGGUGACGGUACCUGAGAAGAAAGCCCCGGCUAACUACGUGCCAGCAGCCGCGGUAAUACGUAGGGGGCAAGCGUUGUCCGGAAUUAUUGGGCGUAAAGCGCGCGCAGGCGGUCAUGUAAGUCUGGUGUUUAAUCCCGGGGCUCAACCCCGGAUCGCACUGGAAACUGCGUGACUUGAGUGCAGAAGAGGAGAGUGGAAUUCCACGUGUAGCGGUGAAAUGCGUAGAGAUGUGGAGGAACACCAGUGGCGAAGGCGACUCU
rnacentral:rRNA from 1 species